UGGAGUGUUCCUUAGAGGUUUUUGGACUGUUAGGAUGUACCAGCCCACAUGAUUGAACAUCUUUUCAUUCUCAGUCUAAAUUCUUUGAAAAUUUAAGAGAAUUCCGGUCCAAUAAAGUUAGCCAAUCUUGAGCCAUUAUACCGCCACCAUGCAUAAAUACAGGCUUUUGCCUUUCUAUUUUUUUUUUAUAGCCUUGCUUGGAGAAUUUGUGUAGAAAAUUUUCUUUGUGAGAGAAGGAGAUUUUAGUUCUACUGACGGAUUUGGAUUUGGAUUUGGAUUUGAAUUUGAAUUUGUGUGUUUUUCACCGCCUUUUGUAUUCUAUAUUUUAUCACCAAAUUUGGUCUCCGUUUAUCAACUUUGUCACGACAAGACAAAAUAGAAAUGGCAUUUCAUGCGACACCAAAGAAUGGCGGGCUUCUGUUCUUCAUCCGUGCUUCAAUCCUACCAAUCUUGAUUGCCACCAUCUUUCUAAUGCAAAUGGUUUUAACUGAGGCAGAUCACAAUUGGAGGGUGGUUGUACGAAGAGUUAACCCAAGCCCUCCUCCCGCUCCCGUAAGGGGGUGGCGCGCUCAUGCAGAACUUCCACCGAGAUGUGAAUCAUGUAUACCCGUUUAUGUAAAUCCAAUAAGUCCACCACCGCCAGCAGCCCCCUAGCUAGUACUCCACAUUUUUCCUCGUUUUGAUUAAUAUUUUGAUUAACGUUUUUAUGCAUUUGCUUCAGAAAAUUGUAAUGCACUCGUAGAGUUUUCAAAAAUCCUAAAUGCAAAUUAAACAUCAUAUUUUCCC